AGGAUGCUUGGGAAGUGUUUGACAGAGCUGCACUGAGCUUGGCAACUUCCCCUGACUUCUCACAUUAGAACAGCAAAUAUUUCAGGCCUGACCUUUCUACAAAGAUUAACAAAUGAUCUCUCUGCUAUGGUAUCCUGCAGUACUGUGAGAUGGUGACAUGGUAUACCUCAUCCCAAACCAUGCAGCAUAUGAAGCACCAUCUAUCCCGAUCCCUGUGUGUGGGCAAUACCCAUGUGACUCAGGAACACAAAACUUAUUCAACAAAGUGGUCCUUCAGUGUUCUGUGGGCAUCUGGCAGCUCCCUUCCACUCCUGCUGAAACCCUAAGUACUAUCAAGCGAAGAGCAGAGCAGCCUCUUCCUGCAUUUCCCACCAGCUUAUUAUUCUUCUCUGGCUUGUGGAGAGUCCUCAAGGUUAACACCUGGAAAGUCCUAUGUUCAAAGAGAACAGGCAGUGAUGUGCUCCCUGGUAAUCUGUUGAAAUUAUUGGCCUGCCUGUAUCCAGAAGCAGCAUUUUUUGCUCAAGGCUCUGAUCAGCCACGUGCUCAGCAUCCUCCCUGUGUCAUCAUCUUGGGAAAUACGCUCCGACACAGUAAGUAAGGGUAAACUGUAAAAUUGCCUUGCCAAAGAAGGGCAACAGGGCUGGGGA